UCCUGGCGACACUUUCGUGUACCUAACGUACUUUUAUAGUAUUUCCCGCUUCAGGUUUGAGUACACUUGCUAAAUAAUUUCAUAUUUUGUUUCCUCUGAUGCGUAUAUUCCAGGUUUCUGGGGCUUCUAUAGAUGAAAUUAUGACUUCCGAGCAUACAAGCUUAGGACAAGUGUGACUUCUGGAGCGGUGAAAAAAGGCUCAUGAAAUUUUACGGAUAUGAGAUAUAUUCCAAAUGGAUACGGAAACGUAAUCGACGCAUAUUGCCAUCUUCAAUUGUGAUGGAAUACUACAUAGAAGGAUUAUCUAUAAAGGAAAAGCUAAAGACGAAGAAUGCAAAGGGUGAUGAAUGUAAUUAGGUCAAUAUGAUUAGAUGAGGUCAGCAUGGGAAACAAGAGUCGCUACAAAAACAGGGCUAAAUUUGAUCCAAAAAAAAAAUUAAUAGAAUAAAUCUGAUAAAUAAUAAGAUUAGUGGAGUUUUUGAAAAAUAACCGUAAUUAUUCAGAUUUGUUAAUUUUUGCGACGAACAGAUGAGUGUGGUGCUAAGCUAAUACUUUUUUUUAUAUUGCAUUUCUGUUACAAACAACUUGAAACUUUUGUUUCCAUCUUAGUAUCAAAUGUUUAUAACAAAA